rnacentral:rRNA from 1 species
UGUGCCCUUGAGGCGUGGCUUCCGGAGCUAACGCGUUAAAUCGACCGCCUGGGGAGUACGGCCGCAAGGUUAAAACUCAAAUGAAUUGACGGGGGCCCGCACAAGCGGUGGAGCAUGUGGUUUAAUUCGAUGCAACGCGAAGAACCUUACCUGGUCUUGACAUCCACAGAACUUUCCAGAGAUGGAUUGGUGCCUUCGGGAACUGUGAGACAGGUGCUGCAUGGCUGUCGUCAGCUCGUGUUGUGAAAUGUUGGGUUAAGUCCCGCAACGAGCGCAACCCUUAUCCUUUGUUGCCAGCGGUCCGGCCGGGAACUCAAAGGAGACUGCCAGUGAUAAACUGGAGGAAGGUGGGGAUGACGUCAAGUCAUCAUGGCCCUUACGACCAGGGCUACACACGUGCUACAAUGGCGCAUACAAAGAGAAGCGACCUCGCGAGAGCAAGCGGACCUCAUAAAGUGCGUCGUAGUCCGGAUUGGAGUCUGCAACUCGACUCCAUGAAGUCGGAAUCGCUAGUAAUCGUAGAUCAGAAUGCUACGGUGAAUACGUUCCCGGGCCUUGUACACACCGCCCGUCACACCAUGGGAGUGGGUUGCAAAAGAAGUAGGUAGCUUAACCUUCGGGAGGGCGCUUACCACUUUGUGAUUCAUGACUGGGG